rnacentral:rRNA from 1 species
UACAGAGGGAGCUAGCGUUGUUCGGAAUUACUGGGCGUAAAGGGCGCGUAGGCGGUUUUUCGCGUUACAUGUGAAAGCCCUGGGCUUAACCUAGGACGUGCAUGUGAUACGGGAGAACUAGAGGACAGGAGAGGAAAGCGGAAUUCCAAGUGUAGAGGUGAAAUUCGUAGAUAUUUGGAAGAACAUCAGUGGCGAAGGCGGCUUUCUGGACUGUAUCUGGCGCUGAGGCGCGAAAGCGUGGGGAGCAAACAGGAUUAGAAACCCCAGUAGU